rnacentral:rRNA from 1 species
UACGGAAGGGGCAAGCGUUGUUCGGAAUCAUUGGGCGUAAAGGGCGCGUAGGUGGUUCUGUAUGUCUACCGUGAAAGCGUACGGCUCAACCUAUUUUGUCGGUAGAAACUGCAGGACUUGAGGCUGGGGAGGGGCUGGUGGAAUUCCCUGUGUAGCGGUGAAAUGCGUAGAGAUGGGGGGAGAACACUCGUGGCGAAGGCGGCCAGCUAGACCAGUUUCUGACACUGAGGCGCGACAGCGUGGGGGAGCAAAACAGGG